UCGCUCCGCGAUUUUGUGCGGUUUGUGUUUAUUAAAUUUAUAUAUUCGUGUCCAUAAAAUAUCCCCAUAAUGUAACAGGGGGGAUGUUCUGUGCAUGAAUUUCAGCAACAGCCACUAAACUACUAAAAAGGUGCUAGAAUCCACAAGAAACCGUGUUUUUCUGUAGUUAUAACUUCGUUCGCAAUGGAAGUAUCAAACCGGCAACGCGGCAGUUGGCACGCCUGGUGGUCUGUGCAAUGUCAACAAAAGCCGUCGAAAAAUCCUCAAUACCGAUUGUUUUUUGCCUUCAACUGGUAAAUAUUAUGUGAAAACGGCUGGCUGUGAGUGUUCCGGUGUGGUCAGCAUUAAGGAGGGCUGCUUGCCCACUCGCAUGUCCAUGUGCUAAAAAUGCUGGCUGUGAUGGAGGCAGGGGCACAAAGUGCAGGUCCAUCAAGCGCUUCCGGUUCUUCGGCGCCCAACGAGCCGCCCAUCAAAGAAUUCCUCAGCUCGGGCCGAACGGGGCGCAGAAACGCCCUGCCAGAUAUUCUAGGCCAACAUGCUGUUGUGACCUCGUCAGAUCUGCCGUCCCGGCUGCAGGCUUUGAGCACAAAGGACUCAAACUCAUCUGGGGCCUCACAUCUGGGAGAGCCUCAACCGGGCCCCAGUUCGGCCAAGAGCUGAACAAAUCAAAACUAUGUUAUCAGAGGAACAUAUUUAGGCCAUCGCCGGUCUGUACGUACGGUGGAUGUUACUUAACGUAGUAUUUUUGUAUCUGAAACAAUACUCGAACUUGUCGGAUCUUUUGGUGUCCGAAACGUUGCCAGGGCUGUGCAAAGCUUGAUCUGUAUUAUGCUUCAUGUAAAUAACUGGCCAAGCACAGUCUGGAGCAAUGGAUUUUUGGAUAUUUAUUGCAGGCAGCUAUUUGUAGACUUGCGGUUGUAGUCUGGUGGAUGCAAACUUUGCAGAUUGCCUCACUAGACGAGCUGUAGCACCCAAAAAAUCAUCAUUUAUUCACUAUUUAUUUGAUCAUCCAUUUGAAGCACUAAGUUAGGAACUGUACCUGAUAGAAGCCUAAUUGCUGUAAAAGCCGCUUUUCAUUGAUCGCCCUUAGCGCGAAGAGUCGUAAUAAUUGCAAACCGUUCGGCCCUACUUACGUUCAACAACGACACGCUGUGUGAUAUUAAAUGUAUGUUGGUUUAACUGGUUCAAUGAUGAAUCUUUUGAAGCAUCUGAAGAGUGUCAAUUUUUAAAUUAUGAAUUCUAAUGUAAAAAACAACUGUCUGUCUGCAUAUGGUCAGACUGGGGAAAUUUUACCGCAUCAAUACGGAAAACCCAUGCGAUUUAAUGCACUUUAGGUGUUGUGACGCACUUAUCCUGUUAAACUUACGAUAACAGCGCGCAACCAGUAAUUAGGGCAUAAUUGCUUGAUUUUGAAUGUAAAUUGCACGCUUGUUUGCACUCCAUGGUUCUGUCCAAAGAACCGCCGUCAGACUGUAGGUUGAAUCUCAUCGUUUUUAGUUUGCUCCAUAUAAACUGCCUUUUCGUUUGGUGUUUAGUCGAGAUUGCAUUUCGUUUCCGGCUAAAGCCCAGUAUUAGUGGCUCAAUAUUGAUGUCCAAAACUAGUCAUGUAGACCUAAUUAACGGAGUAACCAUGUAAAUUAUUAUUGUCAAUAUAUUUGUAUGGAUUUCACAAUAAAACCACGUUGGAAAGCUCAA
rnacentral:misc_RNA from 1 species